GUGGCCGUGGAGUGUCAAUUUGCUGACGUUAUUUCGAAACUUUGAAUCAAACAAAACGAAAGCCCGUUUUCUAUUACCUGUUAUUUUCAAUUACUUGUUUUAAUUGAUUAGUUAAUCAGAACUUUUAACGUGUGAGAUUACAAGUACUUGAGCAGCAGUGAUACCAUUCGGAGGGAGAUGUUAUUACUGUGUUCCUUUCGGAUUGAAUAGUUCGGUAAUGAAGCCGGAGACCAUAAGAUACUUUUAUUGGUGAUGCGGAGAUGCCGGUGUUGGAUAAAGUCAGGAGUCACACGACACCAGAUGCUGCCAGACCUUUUCCAGCAACUUCUGUUUUUGUUCCUGAACUCUGAGUUUGAAGGACAGGUUCAAGUCCCACUUGCCGCGGAGGAGUGGCACAACACAUCCAAACAGAAUGCUUCUUUAGGAGAAUGUUAUGCAGACAUGGUGACACCCAGUUCAGUCGCAGCCCAGAAGCCUAGCGUAACAAGAACAGCACUUGACAGCUCAAGGUUCAAAAUCAUGUUAUGUGACCUCCAAAU